AAAACAUAGUUUUUAUAUUUUAUUAAAAAUAUACCCUGCCCANUCAAUAAUAUAUUUAAAAGGCUGCAGUAUUUUGACUGUACAAAGGUAGCAUAAUAAUUAGAUUUUUAAUUGAGAUCUAGAACGAAUGGUUAAAUGAAAUAAAAUCUUUUUUAAUUUUAUAUAUUUAAUUUUAUAUAUUAGUUAAAAAGCUAAUGUUUUAAAAAGGGACGAGAAGACCCUAUAGAAUUUUAUAAUUAAUUAUUAUUAUUUAAAUAUAAUUUUAUUAUAUUAUUAAUUAUUUAUUUUAUUGGGGAGAUAAAUAAAUUUAAAUAACUUUAAUAUUUUAAUUCAUAAAUUUAUGUUUUAUUGAUCUUUUUUUAUUGAUUUAAAGUUUAAAUUNCCUUAGGGAUCACAGCAUAAUAAUUUUAAAAAGUUCUUAUUUUUAAAAAAGUUUAUGACCUCGANNUNNAAUU
rnacentral:rRNA from 1 species